rnacentral:sRNA from 1 species
GUCAGGCAUGGUGGUGCGUGCCUGUAGUCCCAGCUACUCAGAAGGCUGAGGCAGGAGAAUUGCUCGAACCUGGGAGGCAGAAGUUGCAGUGAGCCAAGAUCGCGCCAUUGCACUCUAGCCUGGGAGACAGGAGCGAGACUCCAUCACAAAACAAAACAACCUUCUUUUUUUUGAGAUGGAAUUUCACACUUGUUUUCCAGGCUGGAGUGCAAUGGCGCGAUUUCAGCUCACUGCAACCUCUGCAUCCCGGGUUCAAGAGAUUCUCCUGUCUCAG